rnacentral:rRNA from 1 species
CCUACGGGUGACUGCAGUGGGGAAUAUUGGGCAAUGGACGCAAGUCUGACCCAGCAACGCCGCGUGAAGGAAGAAUGCUCUCGGGUUGUAAACUUCUUUUUAUGGGGAAGAGAAGAAGACGGUACCCCCUGAAUAAUCCACGGCUAACUACUUGCCAGCAGCCGCGGUAAUACGUAGGUGGCAAGCGUUGUACGGAUGUACUGGGUGUAAAGGGCGUUCAGCCGGUGAGACAAGUCAGAUGUGAAAUCCACGGGCUCAACCCGUGAACUGCAUUUGAAACUGUUUCCCUUGAGUGUCGGUGAGGUAAUCGGAAUUCCUGGUGGAGCGGUGAAAUGCGUAGAUAUAAGGAAGAACAACAGUGGCGAAGGCGGAUUACUGGACGAUAACUGACGGUGAGGCGCGAAAGCGUGGGGAGCAAACAGGAUUAGAUACCCCUGUAGUC